UACGGGGGGGGCAAGCGUUGUUCGGAAUUACUGGGCGUAAAGGGCUUGUAGGUGGCCAACUAAGUCAGACGUGAAAUCCCUCGGCUUAACCGGGGAACUGCGUCUGAUACUGGAUGGCUAGAGUUUGGGAGAGGGAUGCGGAAUUCCAGGUGUAGCGGUGAAAUGCGUAGAUAUCUGGAGGAACACCGGUGGCGAAGGCGGCAUCCUGGACCAACACUGACACUGAGACGCGAAAGCGCGGGGAGCGAACGGG
rnacentral:rRNA from 1 species